UGUAGCUGAAGUAUAAAUUAGGUGUGAGUAGAGUAGUGGUACUCCUUUACACUUGUUACAGCUUCAGGCUUCCUCUGUGGUGGGGGGGAAGGGGUGAUUAAACUUCUGGCACUUACACAAUAAGCACCUUAUUCAAACUAAUGCACUUUAUGAAGGUGGUAUAUAGAUAGGUUUGUUUUUCUUUCCUUUUUUUCUUUUUUUUUUAAAGAAGGUUUUACAUGUUAUAGGUAUGUGGUAUGCAUUCAGAAAUAUUCCCACGUGUGCGCGUAUGUGUGUGUGUGAGAGACUGAAACUGGACAUGGAGGUGAUUAUGGGGGACCGUCCUGUUUGUUCAAACCGCAUCAGAAAAGGACAACUUUCUCUUCGAAGACACUGUUUGGUUUUUUUUUUUUGUUUUUUUUCCUUUAUUAAAAAGGUUUCUAUAAAAAGCUAUAUAAAAUAAUAAGAUUUUUGCUCAGAAAACUUGAAGUUUUGCACUCGUAUAAAAAAGAGAAAAUGACAAAAAAUGGGUUAGGAUAUAUGUUAUGGAGAUUAAUAUUUUUGUGUGGGUGACCGAGUGAGUGGGUGUGUUUGUUUUAAAGCAUACCAGUCUGCACAAUAAUUUUUUUUUUUCAUUGCUUACUAAGAUGUAUAAAAUGACGAGGCCAUUUUGUGAUUUUUCAAGCAGAUUAGAAUUUUGUACUUCGUGUGUGUGUAUGGUAUAUUUGCAGCAUGUUUGUGUAUUUGACUGAGUGGGACAGAGGGCAAUGGCACAACCCAUCUUUUUUUUUUUUUUUUUUUUUUUUUUUUUUGGGAGGGGGAGUUCUGCUCUCCCCCCAUUUCCUCAUCCAUCCCCAGACAGAUAUGAAAGCUGUAGGUGCAACCAGGAGGAAAAAAAAAAAGCAAAAAAAAGCUUUAGCUUCUUUUACACUUAGCAGUGCUCUGCAUGUUUGUGGGUUUUCUUCCCCCCCCCCCCCCUUCUGUCCACCACCCGUAUCAGUGCCUCAAGUAGGCUUAUGGGCCAAGUCCUGAGGUUGUGUGUGUGCGUGCGCGCAUGAGAGUUUCUGUCCACACAUGUGCCUAAGAACUUAAAGGGCGAGUGGUUGGAGUUCAUUGCUGCCAUUAAGACAUUAUUUUCUGGGAGUGUGUCUCAGUACAGACCCCACUCCCAUGCUUCUAAACCAAGAGCUUUGUGCGUUGUGCACACCAUUCUCUGUAGUUCUUCUAGUGUAGCCUGGGGAUAGUCCAUUGACAGGAUUGUCCACUUUUUUGGGGGAUGUGGCUCACAUUGCCUUGUUGUCCACUCUCUUACUCCUGAGCAAGUGACUGACUGGCUUAAAUAGAUCCCAUCAAACUGUGCAAGUGCACAAAAAUGUGCACAAAAAAUGUUCAUUUAAUGUUACUUGUUUGUUGUCGACUCUGGUGUGUGUGUAUAUAUGUAUCUCCAAUAUACACAUACACACAAGUUAAAAGUAUUUGGACUACAAAUGAGGACUUGGGGCUGCUACUUUUUUAUUAUUUUUGAAAUUAUUUUCCUGUAGUUUAUAGUUUCAUUGCCACCAUGUGAAGUGUGUUGUCUGUCUUUUUACAAAAAAUUAUUGAAUGUAUUCCAAAAAAAGGUGAAAAAACAGUGAAGCCGGAUUUUUAAAAAAAAAAAUUUUUUUAUUCAACGCAAACAUGGGAGUGUAGUCGGACAUUAAAAUGGAGCGAAAGGUGUCUCUUUUUUUCAAAAGCCUGUUCAGCAAGCAGAUGGAGAAUCAAGACGACUACCACCAGAAGACACUGCCUCUACAAUCCUGUUUAAAAAAAAAAAAAAGAAAGAAAAAAAAAUAAAAACACAAAAAAAAUAAUAAUAAAAAAAUUGACGAUGAGAGAGAAAAUCUAUUCCAUACUGGAGUUUUGGUUGUUUACAGAAAAACACUUGGACUUUUGUGGGUUUUUUUUUUUUUUUUUUUGAGGGCGGGUCACUCAAUUCAGAAACCUUUAGGGAGGAGGUGCUGGAAUAAUCAGAUGAGAGCACACCCCACCCUCUUGUUGUGAACUGGGUGUGGCAUACAGAAAGUCUCCAUAUUUGUGACUUUGGGGAUUGGGUGCUGAGAUGAGCAGUUAUUACAAAGCUGACCAUAUUUUGUUUACUGAAAUUUGUUAAAUUUGUUUACUUUUUGCCUAUUUUUUUUUUUUCUUCCUCUUCACAGUGGGUUUAAAUACUUUUUCAGCCAGAGAAAAGAAGUUUGUGUUCCUGGAAAACAAAACAAAAAAAAAAACAGCACAGACCAUUUCUUUUCGGUACCUUGAAAUGCAAGAAUGCGAUUGAUGCUUUAAGAGUUUUCUUCCCCGGAGUAUCUAGACCUGGCCUCUAGAUUUAGAUUUUGCUUUAGAAAAGUUGAAUGAAAAUACAAAGAUGGACUGGUCUGGAAUGUGUUGGAAAGUACAAAAGCGCAUGAGGGACGUUCAUGACCUCCGCUCUGUCCUCAUAACCUGGGGACUGUCACUAGCCUUUCUGUUUCCAUGUGGGCGAAGGGAGUAUCGCAGCAGUCGACAUCAUCCUCCUGAAGAUGGUGAACGAGCGGUCACUGCCUCAGUGCUCUCACUAUGCACUUUUCACACACACAAAACUGUGAGGAACCUGCGGGGACAUGUAGAGGAAGACAGAGGGUGCUGUUGAAGCAUGGCUGGCCGGACACUUCGAAUCCAGCUAAAGCCCCUCCACUGAGAAUCUCAACAGGCAUGUUGUUCCCCCCUUUUGAACAUGUACAUAAGUAAUGCUGUGGGGUUUUUUGCUUUUUUGGGGUUUUUUUUUGGUCCUUUUAACUCUGCAAUUCUUAGGACUGAACAUAAUCUUGAUCACAAACCAAUGAAGUAGGCUAAUCAGACAUGUUGAAUGUUGAGGAAUAGCGUUCUACUCCAUGUUCGGGCUUUUGGAGAUUUUCCUGUGGACGCGCUCAAGAUACAGGAAAGAACUUUUAUAAACUGCUUGUUUCUGGCUGAGGACCAGAGACUAUUUCAAUGGAUUCUACAAAUUGACUGGAGUAGAUGAGUAUUUGAGGAGAUUAAACGGAGCUUCUGCACAGUUUUGGAUUAAUUUCAGCGUGGAGUUGCUUGUGACCGCAGCAGCAGAAUGGUCUGUCUGGUAAUGGAGCUAAUUAAAGUACCAGUAUACCAGAGCUUCUGACCAGGACAGUGGCUUUUCUCUCCCUCUCUCUCGGAAGACCAUCGAUGGUACCUGCUUUGAGAGGACGCCUCCUUUACUGAAUGGAGUGAAGUGACUGAACCGAUAGGAGUGUGAUGUACCUCCACAGCUUGUUCGCUCCCUCAGGAGGUGAUCAACUUCAUCGGUGUGUGCCGAAGCCGGACCACGAGAUUCUGGAGCUAUGACAGUCAAUACCUGUACAGACAGCCCUGAUUGCAUACACGGGCUAACACACACAAACCCAUGUUGAGGUCUGCUGAGCACACAUGCAAAAAUGGUCAUUAUCAUCCAGUAUCAAAGGCAAACUUCACUUCCUUCAGCUGCUGUCUUGAUUAAAUCGUAUUCAAACAGACUUCAUACUCCUGGCUGCUGUGUAAACUGUAUAUGCUACUGCUUUUCUCUGUUGUGUGUAAUUUUUCCCCCUUUAGACCAUGCCUUAACUGUACAGACAAGCCUGUAUUUUGGGGGAAAAAAAUGCUUAACAUGUUUAGUUAACCUGAUUUUUACUCCUGUGAUUAUUCCUGAUCUAAAUGAGUCAUGAAGUAACUUGAUCAGAGUUUCGCUUGAGGAUUAAGUGUGAGGUGUAUGUGGCAAACAAAUCCCAUGAGCCUGAAAUUUAACAAAAGGCAUUUUGUCAGUUUAGAUAGAAUCUGGCUGAUUCUCAAGAAAUAAUUUGAGGCUUCUUUGUUACAGGAUAUGCACCAUGGUGAAAAACGAAGCAUUAUUUUAAGAUGGCGUUUGGACUGAUUAGGUUUAUGUAGUGGAAUUGACUCAAAUUACUGUUCAACUUUGCUGGCCCAUUUUUGGCAAGAGUUUGAGCUGCAUGCAGCUUUAAUGCAGCGUUGGUGCUGUUGAACAGACAUGCCGUCAUGAUGUACCUGAGAGAAUGGUUCUGCUUUGUCAUGGUGAUGAAAAUAUUUGGGGUUCUUAUGUGCAUGAUGCCUUUUUAUUAUGGAUGGUGAUUGAUUAAAUAAUUAAACUAAACUAGAUAGUUUAAUGAGAAUAUGAUGGGAGUGAUCCGGAUGAUAGAUUACCAUGCCUGGGUGGCCCUUUGAUAAUUGAAGUUCACAUUUUUCAAGGACAGAUGUACAUGUACCCAUGCGACCUGAUCAUAAUUUGGUGCAAAAAAAACCCCCAAACAAACCCAAACACAUGAGUAAUGACUGCAGGACUAUCUACAAUUUAACAUAUUUCUCAAAUAGCAGAGUCGUACGGUAGUAGGAAGGGAGAAGAUCAGUAUUGUGUUGGAAUCUCCUUGUCUAUACAUCCUUUGCAUGUAAUUUGUAGUGGAGGUGAUGCAAUGACUCAUUUGCCUAUUCCCAAUCUACUUGUUAAGUUUGUCCUGUAGCUGAACUUUUAAAAUCGGAUAUAACAGUGAAAUCUUACUGGAAAUAAAAUAACAUGCAGAUUAAUGAGUGUAAAUAGUUUGGGUUUUUGUUUGAAAGUAUGAGUACAUAAUAAAUGAUUAUCACUAAG